CUACGGGAGGCAGCAGUGGGGAAUAUUGCGCAAUGGGGGAAACCCUGACGCAGCAACGCCGCGUGGGUGACGAAGGUCUUCGGAUUGUAAAACCCUGUCUUCUGGGACGAUAAUGACGGUACCAGAGGAGGAAGCCACGGCUAACUACGUGCCAGCAGCCGCGGUAAU
rnacentral:rRNA from 1 species